AAAGGGUGCGUAGGCGGGCAAUUAAGUCAGUGGUGAAAUCUUGGGGCUCAACCCCGAAACUGCCAUUGAUACUAUUUGUCUUGAAUACUGUGGAGGUUAGCGGAAUAUGUCAUGUAGCGGUGAAAUGCUUAGAUAUGACAUAGAACACCGAUUGCGAAGGCAGCUGGCUACACAAGCAUUGACGCUGAGGCACGAAAGCGUGGGGAUCAAACAGGAUUAGAUACCCCAGU
rnacentral:rRNA from 1 species